UGUAUGAAGGAGCAGGCGUCUCAGGGGUGCCUUUCCCAGGAAUCAUUAUGCCAUUUGACUCAAUUGAUCUGCGGUUCGUGCUGCGGCGAGAGUUGUGAAUCGAUGAAAAACAUUCACGGCAGCGCUUGCCAACCAGGUAGACAAUUUCGAAAAUGGAGAGGAGAAUGCAGGCCAGGCUGGUGACCACCAUGAAGAUGGUGAAGAUCCGUUUCUCGGUGGGUCGAGCGAUGAAGCAGUCCACCUUGUUGGGGCAGGGCUUCUGUUCGCACUUGAUGAGAGAGGGGAAGUCGUAACCCUCAUAGAUGUGGAAGAGGAGGUAGACAAAAGUGGUGUCCACAGCUAUUUUGAAGACCAAUGUGAGGACAUAGGUCCACCACAGGCCUCCACGCUUCUUGCCCGUGUUCAGGUAGAGGCUGCGGCAGUUCUCGCCAUACUUGAGCCGGUGUUUCCGCUCCCUAUCGUCCCUGUAGGCCACAUGCAUCACCACCAGGAGAGAGGGGCAGGUGACAAAGAUAAGCUGCAGGGCCCACAGCCGCACGUGGGACACGGGGAAGAAGUGGUCGUAGCACACGUUGUGGCACCCAGGUUGAACCGUGUUGCAUUUGAAGUCUUUCUGUUCAUCACCCCACACCUUCUCUGCUGCCACCACAAAAACCAUGACCCUGAAGAGGAACACGAUAGAGAGCCACACUCUGCCGAAGGCUGUGGAGUAUUUGUUCACCCCACUGAGGAGGCCCUGGAGGAAUGCCCAGUUCAUGACGACGUAUGUUCACAGUCUGUCUUCUCUUCCUGCUGAUGGAAGACAGAGGAAACUCUUUUUAGCCGAACAGGCACUGAGAAAACAAGUUGAACCGCUGUUGUUGCGCUUCGGUGUCGGAGCGGAGGAGCAGCUUUGGAUGAAGCUCUCGGAUGAAUAUCUCAGGAGAUUUCUCAACAGGACGGGAGCGAAGGGGGUGGAGUUGUUUGCCUGCCAUGUCUUCUUCUCUCCAUUCAACAUGCUCAGGUGUGGCAGCCACACUGAAGCAAACUUGUUUAUGCGAUAAAGUGAAGUGGGAGACGUUUAAUGUACCGUACCUUUUAUUUAGGCUUCACAAAUUUGGAUUGGAUGGACACGCGUCCUACAAGUGAUCGAUUCAUUAUUUACAUGAAACCUAUUAAAUCCUUUGACAAACUUUUAGUCAUUUAAGAUUGUCAGAUGUAAGAUUAGUUGAUUAUUCUAUGCAGAACAAACACACAAUUCAACAAAACAAUAUAAUCAUGUUAAAUAACUAUUGUUCAUCUUUUCUUUUCUUUUUUUUACAUGCACUGCAUAUCUUCAACUAUAAAGGGUGGUUUAUAAGGACAUAAUCUUACUCACCAUGUUACAGGUAACUAUUUCCGUUGAUUCCACGCAUGGUAGAAAUGGACAUUUGUUAUUAUUUACAAUAGCUUAUAUUAUUUCGAUUGCAUCUAAGUAGCCUAUAAUGAAAUAUUUUCAUCGAAUUAUCUUAUUUUUCGACUUACUAUACUUUGAUCUUUCCACAUUUACAACAGACUACUACUCUGAUUUUAUUGACAUUUUUUUCAGAAAUGCUCCACAAACUUUACUCUACUCUACACAUUUUAGGAUUUGUUAACUUACCAAACUAUGAUUUUCUUUCAUAUAAUUCGACAAACUAUACUAUUUCAUCAUGUUAUUUUCGAUAUAGUAUGACUUUUUCUUAUUCUUUGACAUAAUACCCGUUGGCUUUUUGUCAUAUUUUCAACACAUUAUAAAAUGACUUUCUUAAUAUUUUUCAAGAGACAAACAUCCUUAUGAAGCCAACAAACAAAACCAUUUUCAAAAGUGGGGUGAAAGCUGAAAGAAAAGUGUCUGACUGUUAGUUUAGAAAGCUUGAUUUGUUAUACAGUGGUAAUAGCAUCGGCAUAUAAUUUCCACCCUUUUAUAGCAAGAAAUAGAACUCAAGCUGUAGUUUCUUUAUAAAAAAAAAAGGUGUUUAUUGAAAUAUUUACAUGGCAGAUGAUGUGGGCUCAAAGAACAAAAUACCAUGAACACACUCACACUGUCAGACAUACACUGCCUCCACAGACACAUACAAGCAAGCACACAGUCUUUUUGUUCACACAUAUUCUCCACAGUCCGAGAUGAUUACUUUCUGCUUCGGCUUGCCGUCUUUAUUUCCCUGAGCCUGCAAAAAGAAACACACAAUUAUAAAGAAAACAGCCAUUCCAUCCCUAAAUUCAUCCUGAUGAACAGAACACUUUAUUCGCACGUAGCAACAGUGCGAACCAAAUAGUGAUUUCUAUUUUGAAAUAAAUUAGGUUCAAAAUGAGAGCAUUUUAAUCAGAGUGCUAUUUUGUUAUUUAGCUCAUUAUGUUCACUGCAUUGAAAAAAAACAUCAGUUGUAUUAAAAAAUAUAUAUACAUUU